rnacentral:rRNA from 1 species
UACGGAGGAUGCAAGCGUUAUCCGGAUUCAUUGGGUUUAAAGGGUGCGUAGGCGGACUAUUAAGUCAGUGGUGAAAGCCUGCAGCUUAACUGCAGAACUGCCAUUGAUACUGAUAGUCUUGAGUUUGUUUAAGGUAGGCGGAAUGUGUAAUGUAGCGGUGAAAUGCUUAGAUAUUACACAGAACACCAAUUGCGUAGGCAGCUUACUGAGCCGACACUGACGCUGAGGCACGAAAGCGUGGGGAGUCGAACA